CUCCAAACAGGCUCAUGUCCAGGUUGCUCCAUGGUCAUCUGCAUCAAAGUGUUCCUGGCAGGAGCUGUGGAGCUGCUGGAGCAGCCUUGUCCCAGGAACCAGUGCAGCCAGAGCAAGACUCAAGAGGUGACACAAGUGAAGGAGGCAGGAGGUGAGCUGGCUUCUCUCUAAUAGACCAAGAAGCUUUACAGAAGCACCAACUGAACAAUUCUUCUCCAAGAAACAUUCCACAAGAAAGGCAGCCUCUCAGCUUCUGGCCCCUCAGGUCUGAGUCAUCUCUGUGCAUAAGGGGCAGCAGCAUCUGCAGGAGGUGCAAGGAUGGAGUUUCCAUUCCGUUCAUCUCCUCUGAGCUGUCAUAGCUGCUGCUUUGGCUUCCCUCUCUCAGCCUAGAAGGUGUGGGAGCAGGGACUCUGGGAUCCCACAGUGUGGAACUGCUGCAGGUGACAGAGCAGCCUUUGCAGAAGAGUCCUGUGGAGUCUGAUGAGGAGGAAAGGCUGACAUGGGUAAAGGAGUCACCUUCAGAACCCCUCUGCCCGGGCAGAGAUUGGUUCUCUGGUGAGCAGUUUGUUGCUACCUGGAAUUCCUGACCGUCACUGCUGCUAUGCUGUGCUCUAGGUCCCAGCACGUCCUGGAGGUGAGUAGGAGAUAAAGCCCAGAUUUACUAACAGUACCUUGCUGUGUCUGUGAGCACACCUGGGUCACAGUCAGGACAUCCAGCUUCCACACAGCUGGUUUGGCAUGGAGAAGACAAGGCUCCAGGGGGACCUUUAACAGCCUUCCAGUACUUAAAGAGAGCUACAGGAAAGAUGGAAAGGGACUAUUUAUAAGGGCCUAUGGUGAUAGGACAAGGGGCAAAUGUUUGAUACUAGAGCAAGGUAGAUCUAGACUGGACAUUAGCAAGAAGUUUUUUACUGUGAGGGUGGUGAGAUGCUGGAACAGG